GGGGGGGGGGGGUGUAAUUACCCGCUAUGGGUCAACUUUCCAUAUGUCACCAGUACUUGAGGCUUUUGUUGUUUAAAUCCAAAUCAUUGUCUCUGAUAUUUCAAAGAAAUUGACAUAGUAUAUUUUGUCUAUUUGUCUCUAUUCUGUAUAAUUUGUCUAUUUUUCUCUAUUCUGUAUAAUUUGUCUAUUUUUCUCUAUUCUGUAUAUUUUGGCCAAUUUUCUGUAGUCUUGGCUCAUUGUUCUUGGUGUUGUAAACCCCUUGUAGACCCUCAAGUUCUCAACAAUGACUAAUUGUAUUCGACAAUCUUUUAAUCUCAUGAAGUCUAAAAAAAGGUUAUGAAUAAUUUAUAAAUAGGACUUUGAAAGAUUGCUCUCGUCAUCACAUUCCAUAAAGGACAAUUAAUGUAUAGACAAAUUGAAUGUUAUCAUCCGGUAUACAUGUAUAUCGAGAAAGGUCGUGAAAAAAUAAGUAACGUCGGUCAAGUAUUGGAAUGGGAUCGUGAAGGCAAUCUUAUCAGGAAGACACAUGCAAGAUGCUACAUCGGACGAUCACUGAAUACAUCAUUUUCCCUGGGUCACUUGCAGUUGCCAAUGACUUAAAUAUUUAGUUUAUUUUUAUAUUCGUCAGGAAUUAGUUUAGAAAAAAAAAAAAUUGAAAGAUCCAAAUGCUUUGUUAGAACCUGUAUUUAACAUUCUCUUUACGAACGAAAAAUGUUCUUUUAUCUCAUAAGAAAAUAAACCUUAAAUUGUUUUAGAAAAAAAACGAAACAAAAUGAUACAAACACUUUGUUAGAAUCAGUAUUUUCUAUUAUUCUGAAUGUUAUGGUAUCCAUAAAAUUUACUUAUGACUUGUUGUUACAUGGAUCUAUAUUUCAUUUAAAUGUUGUUUAAAUAUAAAUUUUUAUUGUCUGUAUUUGGAUCACACCUCUAUUGUGCUCUUUCCAAUAAAUAUUGAAUUGAA